GGGUGCCUGGCGCAAUGGCUAGCGUGUUUGGCUUCGAUGCUGACGUAAGCGUAUUACGUAGAAUAUGUACCAAAAGGUUGCAGGUUCGAGUCCUGCGGUGCUCA